ACUCCCUGACAGAUUGAUUGAAAAAGCCGAACAAUGCAAGUCUAGGGCCAAAACAAUUGUGGCUUUAGAUUUUCGUAAAAAAUGUCAAUAUUAAACAUAAGAACUGAACUUUGUCUUUUCAUACAGUUGUGUUAGUUUUGUAUUUGAUUGGUGUAACAUGGUAGGAUCAGUGCUAGCAUUUCCCAUAAGUCUUCUCUAUAAUCAUUGAAAAGUAAAAUGACUGGAAGUGUUCCUUUGGCUAUUUUCAUUUGGUGCUGCAAUUUGCUGAGUUGCCUCCCUUAGAUGUGUCAGGAAGCUAAGGUCAGUGCUGUGGAUAUGGUUUGCCCUGAAGGUUUCCAGUAAUUUCAGCACCAUACCUGUUGGAUUCACCAAAGUGGUAAAUGUCUCAGACCUUGAUAACUUUGGGUUUUCACCUGAUGCCAUGAUAUAACUGCAACACUGUUCAAAGCUUAGUUGAACCAAACUCACUCACUCAAUCACAUAUCUCCCUUAUUUGUGUUUAGUCAUAUCUAGAUAUAAAUGAUACAACAAGAUUUCAGAUUACCAUAGUGCUUUUAUUGCUUACGAGUAUUGAACCUAUUUGUUGUCUGUUUCCUGAGUUUGGAUGUACAUUGUAUCAUAUUUAAGCAGGAAGAUGUAAUUUUGUACAUAGUAUGUGUUUGCAAUUCUGAUAUGCAUAUAACAAAGAGACCUGUUAGAUUGUUCUUUCCUCAUUGCAACAUUCGUCUGGACAUACAUUGUAUUGUAGUGUGUGUGUAUCCAACAUAAACUGUAUCAUAGUGUUAGUGUAUGCAUAGUGUAUUACCUGAAACACGUCUCCUCAUUGUACUAUUACUAAGCUGCUAGGUAAAUGUUUCAUUACCUGAGACAUGUCUCCAAAGUAUGCUGUUACUGAGCUGCUUGGUAAAUGUUUCAUUACUAAGCUGCUAGGUAAAUGUUUCAUUACCUGAGACAUGUCUCCAAAUUGUGCUGUUACUGAGCUGCUUGGUAAAUGUUUCAUUACUAAGCUGCUAGGUAAAUGUUUCAUUACCUGAGACAUGUCUCCUCAUUGUACUGUUACUGAGCUGCUUGGUAAAUGUUUCAUUACCUGAGACACGUCUCCUCAUUGUACUGUUACUAAGCUGCUUGGUAAAUGUUUCAUUACCUGAGACAUGUCUCCUCAUUGUACUGUUACUGAGCUGCUAGGUAAAUGUUUCAUUACCUGAGACACGUCUCCUCAUUGUACUGUUACUGAGCUGCUAGGUAAAUGUUUCAUUACCUGAGACAUGUCUCCAAAGUAUGCUGUAACUGAGCUGCUUGGUAAAUGUUUCAUUACCUGAGACACGUCUCCUCAUUGUACUGUUACUAAGCUGCUAGGUAAUCUUUUCAUUACUAAGGUGCUUGGUAAAUGUUUCAUUACCUGAGACAUGUCUCCUCAUUGUACUGUUCCUGAGCUGCUAGGUAAAUGUUUCAUUACCUGAGACAUGUCUCCUUAUUGUACUGUUACUGAACUGCCAGUUAAAUGUUUCAUUACCUGGAUGUAUGAUCAACCAGAUUACCAACCCCAUCUCAGUAUGUGCAUGUUCAAGUUUGUAUAUACUCCAUUCUACUGAGCAACUGAGAAGCCUGUACUAAUCUAGGUGAGCUUUAGCCUACCUUCAUAUUAUUGGUUAUGUACAUUUCAGGUAAACACUGUCUGUAUUUACCUUAUCUUCAUAUUGGUUAUGUACAUUUCAGGUAAACACUGUCUGUAUUAACCCUCCCUUCAUAUUGGUUAUGUACAUUUCAGGUAAGCGCAGUCUGUACUUAACCUACCUGAAUAUUGCCAGAAUUUGAAAGUAUGUGUAUUUUAGUUUAACAUUAGUAAGCACUGUUUGUUAAUUUGCUUACCUGAUUAUGUGGAUUUUUUAAAGUCAGUACAUUCUACAAAGCAGCUAUGAAGUAUUCACACAAUGCAUUGAUAAACUUCUUUCAGCUUUGGGUACCCGAGUUGUCAGCAUAUUUUUAGAACACAUUUACCUUACUUGUUCAUUUAUACAAGAAGUUGGUGCCAAAACACAUGUAUUCCAUGAUAACCAAGAAUGGUCACUCUUGCAGAUAAACCCCUGAUUCCUCUGUGUGAACUGUUCAUACCCCGGGACAGUUACCAUGCCCCAGAUGACUAGUGUACAUAGCAAUAAAUUAUGAAACAUUUGUAUACAUAGGGCAUAAUUUCUAUUGCCUGUAAAGACUCAUUGUAUAUAGAGCAUGUAUCCCAUCAUCAAGAUAUUCAUAUUUUCAAACUGAAUCUUUCUAGUUUUUCACAUUAUGUACUUUUAUGAGUGAGUUAUACUCAACAUACUGAGUAUUGUUGGGACUUUUUAUUGACAUGUUUGAUAACAAAUGGUUAUGCAAGUGUUGUGUUCAAAUAAAAACUUUCAACAAUGACA